rnacentral:rRNA from 1 species
GUGGAUUAGAUACCCUAGUAGUCCACGCCGUAAACGAUGUCAACUAGCUGUUGGUUAUAUGAAUAUAAUUAGUGGCGCAGCAAACGCGAUAAGUUGACCGCCUGGGGAGUACGGUCGCAAGAUUAAAACUCAAAGGAAUUGACGGGGGCCCGCACAAGCGGUGGAGCAUGUGGUUUAAUUCGAUGCAACGCGAAGAACCUUACCUACCCUUGACAUACAGUGAAUUUUGCAGAGAUGCAUUAGUGCCUUCGGGAACACUGAUACAGGUGCUGCACGGUCGUCGACAGCU